ACCACGGGCAAUAGGACAGGUGUAGUGUUGUUAAAUAGAAAGUUAGAAAUGGUAUUGUACUUACUCAUGUAUUAUAAUUAUGUUUAAAAGAUCAGAAUAUUCAUAACUUCUUAUUUUGUUUCAUAAAUAGUUCUUUAAUAUUCGAAACAAAUUCCACAUCUGCUUCGUCUGCCAUCGCCAUGUUUACUCGUCCCAAUCUACAUGCUGCACGGCAUUGCCGCCCCUCCUGGCAAAACAAUAAGCAAGCGAGAAAAAUUAAGGAGAAAAUAAGAGGGUAGGAACAUCGUUGUCAUAAGCUGGAUGCAGUGACACUUCCAUAAUGGCACAAACCUAUCCAUAACUUCCAUAUAUGGCACAAACGUAUCCUCGACGCGUUUUAUAACGUUUUAUUUGACGUAGGGAUGACGUAAUGCUGCUUCCCGCCUAUGACAAUUUGAAUUAGUCAUGUGAUACAAGAUUGCGAAAGCCGAUUCGCCCAGAACGAUGACACGCCCACGAAACGCCCACAAUGUUCCUACC